rnacentral:rRNA from 1 species
ACUCCUACGGGAGGCAGCAGUGGGGAAUUUUGGACAAUGGGGGCAACCCUGAUCCAGCCAUUCCGCGUGAGUGAAGAAGGCCUUCGGGUUGUAAAGCUCUUUCGGCAGGAACGAAACGGUGAGCUCUAACAUAGCUCGCUAAUGACGGUACCUGAAGAAGAAGCACCGGCUAACUGCGUGCCAGCAGCCGCGGUAAUACGUAGGGUGCGAGCGUUAAUCGGAAUUACUGGGCGUAAAGCGUGCGCAGGCGGUUGUGUAAGACAGGUGUGAAAUCCCCGGGCUUAACCUGGGAACUGCGCUUGUGACUGCACGGCUAGAGUAUGGCAGAGGGGGGUGGAAUUCCACGUGUAGCAGUGAAAUGCGUAGAGAUGUGGAGGAACACUGAUGGCGAAGGCAGCCCCCUGGGCCAAUACUGACGCUCAUGCACGAAAGCGUGGGGAGCAAACAGGAUUAGAUACCCUGGUAGUC